rnacentral:lncRNA from 1 species
GAUCGGCAUUUUGAUGUUUUAAUUGCUAGCCUUGAGAAUUCUGCUUCUCAUAAAUGCUUAUUAUACAAUGGCAGAAGUACAUUUAGGACUAUUUCAGAAGCUUAAAACAAAAUGAAAACAAAAAAUUUAUGUAUUUUUCCACAAUAUUUUUAAAAAUUGAAAAUAGAUUUUUUUCAGACAGCAUAUUCUGUUAACAGUUCCCCUUCCCCACCUCCUCCCCACCCACCUAAAUCCACAUCUUUUCUUGCAUUAGAAAAAAAAUAGGCAACAGAUAAACAAACAAACAAACAAGCAAACCUGAAUGGAACAAAACAAAUGAUCAGAAAACCAAUGGGCCAAAGAAAAGGCAUGAGAAACACACACACACACACACACACACACACACACACACACACACACACAUUGGCAAACACAGAAAUCCCAUUAAAAACACAAAAGUAAUCUAUGAUACAUAAGCAAAAGACCUGUAGAGUUUUUAAAAAAAAGGAAAAAAAAAAAAAAAAAGCCCAGACAAAGUAUUGUGAGACAGAAAGUAUUGCGUGUAGCUUUGCUCCGGGAAUGGGCUGCACUACCAGCCCCCACUUAGCUUCCCUUGAACCCACGGAUAAAAACCACACACACAGUUGUUCAAUUUUAUCGCCUUCUAGGUACAAUUGCUGGGCACUACUUAUCUCCCACCUGGAGAGGCAUGCCCUUAUCAUUACUCUUAUCUCCGUACUUCUCCACCUCCAACUCUAGUUGGUCAGUUGAAUUUAGUCUCUGCUAAAUGCCCCUGACCAAACCCUGGUCCUUUGCACGAGCAACAAGUAUUCUUAACCAUCGGACCACCUCUCCAGUCCCUGUCCAUCCAAUUCUUUGAGCUUUUAUUAAGUUAAAUUAGUUUUCCUGAACAAAAGUUCGUAGGAUUGCACAUCGACCUGAGAGCUGGGACAGGUAGCUCGCACAGCACGGUGCAGCUGGGCGGAACUGGGCGGAGCUGGAAAGAGCUGGAAAGAGUUGGAAAGAGCUGGAAAGAGCUGAUUUCAUUACGCCUCUUAGAACAACAUGUGAUUUAAAACUCACAAAUUGCUUAUUUCUGGAAAAUUCUAAGCAAUAUUUUCAAUCUGUGACUGACAGAAAUCACUGGAAAAAUAGCAGAAGUAGGGGAAAACUGUAUUCAUGCAAUUUUGUACUGUUUUUCUUUUUUAAAUAAUUUUUUUCUUUUAAGGGUUAUUUAUUUUAUGCAUAUGAGUACACCACGAUUGCUUUCUUCAGACACACCAGAAGAGGGCACCAGACCUCAUUAGAUAUGGUUGUGAGCCACCAUGUGGUUGCUAGGAAUUGAACUCUGGAAGAGCAGUCAGUGCUCUUAACCACUGAGCCAUCUCUCUAGCCCUGUAUUGUUUUUCUUAAUAUUAUAUUUUAAAAUAUUUUUCUGUAGUUGUAUGAUUUAACUUUUAUAACUGCUUGACAUGCCACUGGGCUGUUCUACUGAAAUGUCAUUAUUCACUGAUGGAUGGUUAAUGAUCGCAGCUGUGAGGGAUCUGGUCUUGGUAGUAUGGGGUACUGUCUCCUGCCUCUCUACUGAUGGGACAUUGCUGGCAAGCUGCUCAGGAGAGGCAUAAAGAAGUCCAGUCCCAUGGGGCUGGAGAGAUGGCUCAGCGGGUAAGAGAACUGACUGCUCUUCCGAAGGUCCCGAGUUCAGAUACCAUAAACCACAUGGUGGCUCACAACCAUCUGUAAUGGGAUCUGAUGCCCUUUUCUGGUGUGUCUGAAGACAGCAACAGUGUACUUAUUUAUAAUAAUAAAUAAAUUUUCGGGCCUGAGCAAGUGGGGUCAACCAGAGCUGGCAGAGGUUCUAAAUUCAAUUCCCAACAACUACAAACAAAACAAAACUUUUUAAGUCCAGUCUAAAAUGGGUGGUCCACACUCUGCGUUGUCCUUCACAAGCCUGGAAGGGGAAACAGCAGAAUCUGGGAGUAUGCCGUGGUUCCCAGUCUCCCGUGUACCUGGGUGCUGGCGGCAUACCAAUGGGAGUCAGGAACGGGCUCCCCACCCCUGCAUUCCUUAGGGCAUCCACACACCUGAAGGGAAAGGCAGGGCCCAGGACAGGCAGAACCUAAUUGGAUUCCCAGUGAGUGUCAAGAAUACAGAGAGGCUGGGAGAGAGAAGGUCUUCCUUGAGAUUCAGCUGUAAGGCAUUUUCUCCAUUUAGUGAUCAGGGGUGGGAGGGCCUAGCCCAUUGUGGGUAGUGCCAUCCUGGGCUGGUAGUCCUGGGUUCUAAAAGAAAGCAAGCUGAGCAAGCCAGGGGAAGCAAGCCAGAUAAGCAGCACUCCUCCAUGACUUCUAGAUCCACUCCUGCCUCCAGGUUCCUACUCUGUGUGAGUUCCUGUCCUAACUUCCUUUGGUGAUGAACAGCAGUGUGGAAGUGUAAGCUGAAUAAGCUCUUUCCUCCCCCAACUUGCUUCUUGGUCAUAAUGUUUGUGCAGGAAUAGAAACCCUGACUAAGACAGUGACCACGAACAGGUUAUUUUGUCUUGCCAUGCCUCAGUUGCUGUCUCUGUAAAGUGGGGUGCUAUGCUCUGAAUAUAGCUUGGGUGUGCUUCCCAAAGAAAGGGUCAUGUGCUGGAAGGUGGGUGGGUCUCUGCUGUGGUGUUGAGGAGCUGGUAUAGGGUAGGAACUCUGGGAAGGUAGUGGUUAAUUCCUCAAAGGCACUGCCUUGGGAAGGGACCAGCGAAGCUCUAUAGGAUUCCAGAGAGUUCUCAGAGAGAGCCUGGUCCCCAAAUUCCUUUGGCUUUCUGUCUCCCUCAUGUUGUGUCCUGUGGAGAUAUGGCCCAGGAGACCUUUAACAGAGCUUAUCUACAGUGCUAUUUAAUCUUUCACUUUGAGCUUCCAAAACUGUGAACUGUAUAAACCUCUUCUGGGUAAUGCACCUAGCCUUAAGUAUUUUGUUAUAGUUACAGAAAACCCUUGAUGACAGGUAGUACCUACCUUUUGAAAGUUAAUAUUACAGAGUAGUUAACACGGGCGUGGUGCUAAGAACACUGCCUGCCCUAGUACUGUGCUUGUUAAAGAUCUACAUUGCUGUAGAUCAAGAUU